ACUCCUACGGGAGGCAGCAGUGGGGAAUAUUGCACAAUGGGCGCAAGCCUGAUGCAGCCAUGCCGCGUGUGUGAAGAAGGCCUUCGGGUUGUAAAGCACUUUCAGUCGUGAGGAAGGUGGUAGUGUUAAUAGCACUAUCAUUUGACGUUAGCGACAGAAGAAGCACCGGCUAACUCCGUGCCAGCAGCCGCGGUAAUACGGAGGGUGCGAGCGUUAUCCGGAUUUAUUGGGUUUAAAGGGUCCGUAGGCGGAUUAAUAAGUCAGUGGUGAAAUCCCAUCGCUUAACGAUGGAACUGCCAUUGAUACUGUUAGUCUUGAAUGAGGGUGCAGUGGUUGGAAUGUGUAGUGUAGCGGUGAAAUGCAUAGAUAUUACACAGAACACCGAUUGCGAAGGCAGAUCACUAACCCUAAAUUGACGCUGAGGGACGAAAGCGUGGGGAGCGAACAGGAUUAGAUACCCUGUAGACUGUC
rnacentral:rRNA from 1 species